GCGCUCGCUUCGGCAGCACACAGACUAAAGUCGGAACGAUGCAGAGAAGGUCAGCACGGCCCCUGCACAAGGGUGACACGCAGAUCCGUGAAGCCUUCCACGUUUUU